AAAGUGUCAGCAGCCGCGGUAAUACAGAGGGUGCAAGCGUUAAUCGGAAUUACUGGGCGUAAAGCGAGCGUAGGUGGCUUGAUAAGUCAGAUGUGAAAGCCCCGGGCUUAACCUGGGAACGGCAUCUGAUACUGUUAGGCUAGAGUAGGUGAGAGGAAGGUAGAAUUCCAGGUGUAGCGGUGAAAUGCGUAGAGAUCUGGAGGAAUACCGAUGGCGAAGGCAGCCUUCUGGCAUCAUACUGACACUGAGGUUCGAAAGCGUGGGUAGCAAACAGGAUUAGAUACCCUGGUAGUCCACGCCGUAAACGAUGUCUACUAGUCGUUGGGUCCCUUGAGGACUUAGUGACGCAGCUAACGCAAUAAGUAGACCGCCUGGGGAGUACGGCCGCAAGG
rnacentral:rRNA from 1 species